AGCAUAUCAAUAAGCGGAGGAAAAGAAACCAACAGGGAUUGCCCUAGUAACGGCGAGUGAAGCGGCAACAGCUCAAAUUUGAAAUCUGGCUCUUUCAGAGUCCGAGUUGUAAUUUGCAGAGGGCGCUUUGGCUUUGGCAGCGGUCCAAGUUCCUUGGAACAGGACGUCACAGAGGGUGAGAAUCCCGUACGUGGUCGCUAGCUAUUGCCGUGUAAAGCCCCUUCGACGAGUCGAGUUGUUUGGGAAUGCAGCUCUAAAUGGGAGGUAAAUUUCUUCUAAAGCUAAAUAUUGGCCAGAGACCGAUAGCGCACAAGUAGAGUGAUCGAAAGAUGAAAAGCACUUUGGAAAGAGAGUCAAACAGCACGUGAAAUUGUUGAAAGGGAAGCGCUUGCAGCCAGACUUGCUUGCAGUUGCUCAUCCGGGCUUUUGCCCGGUGCACUCUUCUGCAGGCAGGCCAGCAUCAGUUUGGGCGGUGGGAUAAAGGUCUCUGUCAUGUACCUCUCUUCGGGGAGGCCUUAUAGGGGAGGCGACAUACCACCAGCCUAGACUGAGGUCCGCGCAUCUGCUAGGAUGCUGGCGUAAUGGCUGUAAGCGGCCCGUCUUGAAACACGGACCAAGGAGUCUAACAUCUAUGCGAGUGUUUGGGUGUCAAGCCCGAGCGCGUAAUGAAAGUGAACGGAGGUGGGAACCCGCAAGGGUGCACCAUCGACCGAUCCUGAAGUUUACGGAAGGAUUUGAGUAAGAGCAUGGCUGUUGGGACCCGAAAGAUGGUGAACUAUGCUUGAAUAGGGUGAAGCCAGAGGAAACUCUGGUGGAGGCUCGCAGCGGUUCUGACGUGCAAAUCGAUCGUCAAAUUUGGGCAUAGGGGCGAAAGACUAAUCGAACUAUCUAGUAGCUGGUCUGC
rnacentral:rRNA from 1 species